GCCGGGGUGCCCGAGUGGACCAAGGGGCGGGCCUUGAGAGCCCGUGGGCCGAAAGGCCCGCGCGGGUUCGAAUCCCGCCCCCGGCGCCA
rnacentral:tRNA from 1 species